CUGCGGACGACGACAAGCGGCCAAUCGUCCCCGCCCCCCGCGGCCCGCCGCCGCGCCGAACCUGGUCACACCCACAAGGAGAGGAGAACCCUCGCAGCCCCUCGCUCGGGGUGAAACUCCAACAUGGCUUCCGCUUUCGCCGCUCCUCCCCCUCCCCUUACUCCGGCUCCUCCAACCUCCUCCCCUUUUCCCGACUCCCGCCCGACUGCGCAGCCGCGAUCCCGGAGGGAGCGCGCCAGGCCUGGCGCGCACCCGACCCCUUGCGCGUUCCGGCUCCGCGCGCCUGCCAGGCCGGGGCCGGCGGCGGAACAGCUUGGGACCCGAAACGCCUCGGCUUUUCUGCGGACCCGCGCCCGGCCGCUGCCGCCGGACGCUUGAAAAGGGCAGAGUCUUGCUUUGUUGUCCAGGCUGGUCUUGAACUUCUGAGCUCAAGUGAUCCUCCCGCCUUGGCCUCCCAAAGUGCUGAG
rnacentral:lncRNA from 1 species